AUUGAACGCUGGCGGCAGGCCUAACACAUGCAAGUCGAGCGGUAACACAGGGAGCUUGCUUCCGGGUGACGAGCGGCGGACGGGUGAGUAAUGUCUGGGAAACUGCCUGAUGGAGGGGGAUAACUACUGGAAACGGUAGCUAAUACCGCAUAAUGUCGCAAGACCAAAGAGGGGGACCUUCGGGCCUCUUGCCAUCAGAUGUGCCCAGAUGGGAUUAGCUAGUAGGUGGGGUAACGGCUCACCUAGGCGACGAUCCCUAGCUGGUCUGAGAGGAUGGCCAGCCACACUGGAACUGAGACACGGUCCAGACUCCUACGGGAGGCAGCAGUGGGGAAUAUUGCACAAUAGGCGCAAGCCUGAUGCAGCCAUGCCGCGUGUAUGAAGGAGGCCUUCGGGUUGUAAAGUACUUUCAGCGGGGAGGAAGGUGUUGAGGUUAAUAACCUCAGCAAUUGACGUUACCCGCAGAAGAAGCACCGGCUAACUCCGUGCCAGCAGCCGCCGUAAAAC
rnacentral:rRNA from 1 species